UACAGAGGUCUCAAGCGUUGUUCGGAUUCAUUGGGCGUAAAGGGUGUGUAGGUGGCGCCGUAAGUCGGGUGUGAAAUUUCGGAGCUUAACUCCGAAACUGCAUUCGAUACUGCGGUGCUUGAGGACUGGAGAGGAGACUGGAAUUUACGGUGUAGCGGUGAAAUGCGUAGAUAUCGUAAGGAAGACCAGUGGCGAAGGCGGGUCUCUGGACAGUUCCUGACGCUGAGGCACGAAGGCCAGGGGAGCAAACGGG
rnacentral:rRNA from 1 species